GCCAGCGUAGCUCAAUGGUAGAGCGUCAGGCUUUUAGUCCUCGUCAGAAAUGUCGAAAUGGUAUGGAACCUGAAUGUUGCGGGUUCGACCCCCGCCGUUGGCU
rnacentral:tRNA from 1 species